UACGUAGGGGGCUAGCGUUGUCCGGAAUCAUUGGGCGUAAAGAGCGUGUAGGCGGCCCGGUAAGUCCGCUGUGAAAGUCGGGGGCUCAACCCUCGAAUGCCGGUGGAUACUGUCGGGCUAGAGUGCGGAAGAGGCGAGUGGAAUCCUGGUGUAGCGGUGAAAUGCGCAGAUAUCAGGAGGAACACCAAUUGCGAAGGCAGCUCGCUGGGACGUUACUGACGCUGGAGACGCGAAAGCGUGGGGAGCAAACAGG
rnacentral:rRNA from 1 species